UUCGGUGGCUAUAGCGCGGUGGAACCACCUGUUCCCAUUCCGAACACAGAAGUGAAACGCCGUUGCGCCGAUGGUACUGCAUGGGUCACUGUGUGGGAGAGUAGGACGCCGCCGGAU
rnacentral:rRNA from 1 species